rnacentral:misc_RNA from 1 species
GAUGAAGAACGCAGUGAAAUGCGAUAAGUAAUGUGAAUUGCAGAAUUCAGUGAAUCAUCGAAUCUUUGAACGCACCUUGCGCCCUUUGGCUAUUCCGAAGGGCAUGCCUGUUUGAGUAUCGUGAACACCUCAACUCUCAUGGUUUGCCAUGAUGAGCUUGGACUUUGGGGGAUUUGCUGGCCUUUGGUCGGCUCCUCUCAAACGGAUCAGCUUUCCAGUGUUUGGUGGCAUCACGGGUGUGAUAACUAUCUACGCCUGUGGUUUUCUGCCAGAUAACCUUCAGCGAUGGAGGUUCGCUGGGGCUCAUAAAUGUCUCUCUUCAGUGGAGACAGCUUUUUGGACGUUUGAUCUCAAAUCAGGUAGGACUACCCGCUGAACUUAAGCAUAUCAAUAAGCGGAGGA